rnacentral:pre_miRNA from 2 species
UGGAAGACUAGUGAUUUUGUUGUUUUUAUAAAAGUUUGUCACAAACAGCAAAUCGUAGUCUCCACU